GGUUGGAUUGCUAUCCUGGGUGCACUGUGGCUUUUGGUUCUGGCCGACCUCCAGGAUUUCGAGAUCAUCCUGCACCGGGUGGAGUGGGCCACAUUGCUGUUCUUUGCUGGCCUCUUCGUUUUGAUGGAGGCUUUAGCCCAGCUGCAGCUUAUCGACUAUGUUGGAGAACAGACAGCGCUGCUUAUAAAAGCGGUGCCAGAAGACCAGCGAUUGGCUAUAGCCAUUAUCUUGGUGAUGUGGGUCUCAGCUCUGGCCUCUUCUCUCAUUGACAACAUUCCCUUCACUGCAACCAUG